rnacentral:tRNA from 2 species
GCACCCGUAGCUCAGCUGGAUAGAGCGCUGCCCUCCGAAGGCAGAGGUCGCGCGUUCGAAUCGCGCCGGGUGCGCCA